GGCUACCUGCACGAGAAGGGCGGGGUGGUCGCCGCCGACGGCCACUGCCGGCCGUUCGACGCGGCCGGUGACGGC
rnacentral:tRNA from 1 species